CUGACAUUCUGAGGCUUCAGAAAAUCUUUUUUUGUCAUCAGUUUUAAUUACUUUGUUCUAAGUAGUUGCUUUAUGAUGGUAUUCUGUGUUGCAUGUAAUUAAAACAUUCAUCUAUACACAUUAACGUGUACCAAAACAUAUUUAGCAGUCAUUUUUUCCAUGUGGUUUUUUUCUGUUCUUUCACCACUAGUGCACAGAGAAGUUAAAGCAAGUUAAAGUCAUAAUCAUGCUUGUCUUUCUGCUCCUUGCCUCAAUGUUUUACCAAGGUCUUACAGUUGUGAGCUAUGGAGACAACUUCAUUACUGCCUUUCCAGAGAACCUUGGUUUCUUCUAUCCGUCUGGUACCAUGAACUAUCUAAGAGUCACAGCCCUUUAUGACAGCACUAACUUCACAGUCUUCUACCAAAACAGACAGAUAGUCCAACAUAUUCCGAAGUCAGGACAGACCGUGAGUGUUGUGUUUCCAACGUCUGCUGAAAUAUAUCAACUAGGCUCUUCGCUUUUAUCUGUCAGAAUUACCAGUGACAAAAACAUCACAGUGGUUUCUGUAAGUAAUCGGGCAGGCAGCACCCAGUCCCAUGUCAUCCAGCCAACGGUAAAUCUCGGCACAAACUAUUUGAUCCCUUUGCUCGAUUACCCAGGGUAUCUUGAAUCUUUCAACCUAACUAGCCUUGUCAGUACAGCCAUAAGAUACAGCUCAUUCAAGUUACUCAUUAUCAAUGCGGUGGACAGUCAAAACAGUGUCACUUUAGUCAAGCAAACAUCAACAUCAGGUAUUCAAAAUGAGACGUUCAGUAUGGAUUCCUACCAGCUGGUGCAGCUUCAGACCAACGGUUCUGUUUUGAGGGUCAAAUCAAGCAAAGAAAUCGCUGUGAUACUGACCCACCCAUGUGUAGAGACUCAGAGCUGUAACUGUAACUUGGUAAUAAAUCAGAUUCUUCCCACAAAGUUUCAGGGUCGGAGCUUUAUCGUACCUUCCAUCUUCAACAAUUCUGAGACCAAAUUACUUAUGCUGUCAGAAAACACGUCCUCGCUAUUUCACAAUGGUAACCAGCUACAGGCUUCUCCCUCAACGCUUCUGCCAUUUCCAGACCUGCAGAAAUCCCAGCUGGUAAAUGCAACAGAGCAAGUGUCCCUCAGGCUUUUCAGUCCGGGCGUCAUUGUGGAGUUGAUCCCAGAAACCAUGUUUUUUGCUUGCUUCCUGCUGCAAUUUUCUUCAACAAAUGGCAAGGCAUUGGUGAUCGCUGAAACAGACAGUAAAGAUGAUGUGCACACACAUAAUGGUUUGCUCUCAGCAUCUGACUGGACUGCAAUCGCUGGCACAAACUACUCUUCGGCUGUUGUAACUAUACCAGAUCAAAUUGCCACAAUCUGGCAUCCAACAUCGAGGAUUGGUGUUUAUAUGCUGGAACAUAUGUCUGCAAAAGUAAUGUUUGGAGGCCCGGCUAUACCAAUCAAUGAAAAACCAGAUCUUCAUGGCUGUAUGUUAGUUCCUGGAGCAUUUGCAAUUGGAAAGGACCCUCUAAGUUGGACGGAGUCUCGUGAGUACUGCAUAAAUAAAGCAAAUCAGUUUGCCUGUCCUAUAACUAAAUCUGUCCUUAAGGACAUGGCUGAUAACCUGACCAAGGAGGAUGGGGAUGGCUGGAUCGGUCUCCGCCGCAGUUUACUAACUACAGAUUGGUACUGGCAGGAGGAGUAUGAGCCCCCAAUCUCUGUCAAUUACAUUCACUGGGAUGACGGGCAUCCACUGAACGUUUUGAAGGGCUUAUGUACUUCAGUGUCACUUGACCCUAAAAAUGAUUUCAAAUGGCAAAGUGCACGCUGCUGUGAUAAAAAGAAGCCAGUCUGCUACAAAAGGCCAGCUUACCUCAUUCCUUCACAACAAUUGUUGGUACUUAACGUUUAGUGCUUGUUAGUCAUGCUAUUCUUUAGGUUCAAUAAGUUCAUACGGCAUAACCACCUGCAUAUCUGAGCUGUAUUUUUAAUGAUUGCAAUGUCUUUAUGUUAGAUUUAUUUUAUAUACAUGCUAAAAUUAUAUAAGGUUAAGGUCAUAUUAAGCAGUUGUGUUGAUAUUUGAAUUAAACUGUUUUUCAACUUAUCUUAGACAUUGACUCAAAUGGAAACAGGAAGUAGAUCUGGAAAUUAUGAAUGCCACAUCAACAAAAAAAUUUAUAUCAUUAAUAAAAUGAACAAAAAUAUUAUAAUCA
ensembl:lncRNA